UCGUAACAAGGUUUCCGUAGGUGAACCUGCGGAAGGAUCAUUACUGAUUUGCUUAAUUGCACCACAUGUGUUUUUCUUUGAAACAAACUUGCUUUGGCGGUGGGCCCAGCCUGCCGCCAGAGGUCUAAACUUACAACCAAUUUUUUAUCAACUUGUCACACCAGAUUAUUACUAAUAGUCAAAACUUUCAACAACGGAUCUCUUGGUUCUCGCAUCGAUGAAGAACGCAGCGAAAUGCGAUACGUAAUAUGAAUUGCAGAUAUUCGUGAAUCAUCGAAUCUUUGAACGCACAUUGCGCCCUCUGGUAUUCCGGAGGGCAUGCCUGUUUGAGCGUCGUUUCUCCCUCAAACCGCUGGGUUUGGUGUUGAGCAAUACGACUUGGGUUUGCUUGAAAGACGGUAGUGGUAAGGCGGGAUCGCUUUGACAAUGGCUUAGGUCUAACCAAAAACAUUGCUUGCGGCGGUAACGUCCACCACGUAUAUCUUCAAACUUUGACCUCAAAUCAGGUAGGACUACCCGCUGAACUUAAGCAUAUCA
rnacentral:misc_RNA from 1 species